rnacentral:tRNA from 1 species
GGGGAUUUAGCUCAGUGGUAGAGUGUUUGCCUAGCAGGCACAAGGCCCUGGGUUCGGUCCCCAGCUCCA